AACGAACGCUGGCGGCAUGCCUAACACAUGCAAGUCGAACGAGACCUUCGGGUCUAGUGGCGCACGGGUGCGUAACGCGUGGGAAUCUGCCCUUGGGUUCGGAAUAACUCAGAGAAAUUUGAGCUAAUACCGGAUGAUGACGUAAGUCCAAAGAUUUAUCGCCCAAGGAUGAGCCCGCGUAGGAUUAGCUAGUUGGUGAGGUAAAGGCUCACCAAGGCGACGAUCCUUAGCNGGUCUGAGAGGAUGAUCAGCCACACUGGGACUGAGACACGGCCCAGACUCCUACGGGAGGCAGCAGUGGGGAAUAUUGGACAAUGGGCGAAAGCCUGAUCCAGCAAUGCCGCGUGAGUGAUGAAGGCCUUAGGGUUGUAAAGCUCUUUUACCCGGGAUGAUAAUGACAGUACCGGGAGAAUAAGCUCCGGCUAACUCCGUGCCAGCCGCCGCGGUAAC
rnacentral:rRNA from 1 species